GUGGGGAAUAUUGGACAAUGGGCGAAAGCCUGAUCCAGCCAUGCCGCGUGUGUGAAGAAGGUCUUCGGAUUGUAAAGCACUUUAAGUUGGGAGGAAGGGCAGUAAGUUAAUACCUUGCUGUUUUGACGUUACCGACAGAAUAAGCACCGGCUAACUUCGUGCCAGCAGCCGCGGUAAUACGAAGGGUGCAAGCGUUAAUCGGAAUUACUGGGCGUAAAGCGCGCGUAGGUGGUUUUGUAAGUUGGAGGUGAAAUCCCCGGGCUCAACCUGGGAACUGCCUCCAAAAAUGCAUGACUAGAGUACGGUAGAGGGUAGUGGAAUUUCCUGUGUAGCGGUGAAAUGCGUAGAUAUAGGAAGGAACACCAGUGGCGAAGGCGACUACCUGGACUGAUACUGACACUGAGGUGCGAAAGCGUGGGGAGCAAACAGGAUUAGAAACCCUGGUAGUCC
rnacentral:rRNA from 1 species